AGACCCGAAACCCGGUGAUCUAGCCAUGGGCAGGUUGAAGGUUGGGUAACACUAACUGGAGGACCGAACCGACUAAUGUUGAAAAAUUAGCGGAUGACCUGUGGCUGGGGGUGAAAGGCCAAUCAAACCGGGAGAUAGCUGGUUCUCCCCGAAAGCUAUUUAGGUAGCGCCUCGUGAAUUCAUCUCCGGGGGUAGAGCACUGUUUCGGCUAGGGGGCCAUCCCGGCUUACCAACCCGAUGCAAACUGCGAAUACCGGAGAAUGUUAUCACGGGAGACACACGGCGGGUGCUAACGUCCGUCGUGAAGAGGGAAACAACCCAGACCGCCAGCUAAGGUCCCAAAGUCAUGGUUAAGUGGGAAACGAUGUGGGAAGGCCCAGACAGCCAGGAUGUUGGCUUAGAAGCAGCCAUCAUUUAAAGAAAGCGUAAUAGCUCACUGGUCGAGUCGGCCUGCGCGGAAGAUGUAACGGGGCUAAACCAUGCACCGAAGCUGCGGCAGCGACGCUUAUGCGUUGUUGGGUAGGGGAGCGUUCUGUAAGCCUGUGAAGGUGGCCUGUGAGGGUUGCUGGAGGUAUCAGAAGUGCGAAUGCUGACAUAAGUAACGAUAAAGC
rnacentral:rRNA from 2 species